GUAAGCCAGUCUUCUCACCGUUACCAUGUAUGGAUCACUCGCUCUUCGUUUCGAAGGAAAAAAAUCAGCCAUGAUAGUGUACACGCCCGCGCAUCUCAGUGUGUGUAUAUUCUUCUGCAUGUACUUGGUUAAGCGUGCAAACACUGUUUCGCAUUGAUAGACACGAGUCGCAGUAUGCAAACAUAACGGACCUACCAAUAACGGGGGAUCAUAUUUAUUAUCAAGGUAGACUAAUACUAUCGAUGAUACAAACAACGGCGAAUGAGGAUAAUUUGGAAGAACCGAGUCGGAACGACGCGACAGACGUACCAAACCUUGCCCCGCCUCAACUUUUAUUGAUCCCGAGGACGUCGUGCACGACAAACACGUCUAAAUAUUUCCGCAGCCGUAUAUUCGUGUCGACGUAUCUCAAUUACAUAGAACUAUCACUCUUGAAAAUUGUUUAUUGCAAAAAUAUUCGAAAUAUCUCAUCGCAAAGAUUUUCAUGCGAAUACCAGUAGGGGUGGCCGAGUUGUAUAUCGAGGACAAGAUUUUGACAUACGACUACUUUCUCGAAUGAUCUUGUGAUACGAGUCUGAAAACGAGUAACAACGGAGCCGCAAGUUGCCGUAAAUGGUGUCGUUUUCUACUUUGGACAGAGUACGGAUACAUCGCGGCGAAGUCGUGGAUCAAGGGAACCAACUCGAUAACGGUAGCUUCGAAAUCUGAUUGUGAGUCACCCAGUUGUUCUUCUCGAUCUCUCCUCCUAUUCUCGUAUGAAUCCUGUUUUCUUUCCGUAUUUCAAUUUUUAUCCUUAUCUUAUUUUUCUACUUCUCAUUUUUCACAUUUUUUUCGCUUUAUUUUUUAUUGUUUAAAGAUUGUUUUCUAUUAGGAUUUUGAUCAUAGACCGGAUAAAAUUCACAGAUAUUAAACUUAUCGUUAUCGUAAACUAUACAUUACAAGAGAUUAGAAGUAGAAAUUUUUAUAUUGUUUAAAUAUUUAAUAUAAUUUUUGUAUUGUUUUAAUAAAGUACAAUUAUCAAUUAGAAAACUGAGAAUAUCCAAUUCUGCGACCAGUCUGGUUAUUGAGUAACACUUUACGGUGAUAUCAUCGUAACACGAUGUCGCAUUUCCAAAACGGGAAAAACAUUUAUAUAUUCGGUUUUCGCUUGUAUUUAGUUUUGUUUAUAGAGUAACUUUAUCUAAUAAUGUUCUCAAUAAAAUUUAAUAAAAUAUAUGAUUCGCUUCAUCGUUUUUUUUAAAAAUAUUUUCAUCUUAGGUAGAAUUUCACUCGAAAAUGUUAUUUUAAAUGGUAUUAAAAUUUAUCCUGUUCUUCCCAAAAUUAUUUAGAAGAUGUUAGUAAUAUAACUCGUAAAAUAUUUAUUGCGAAAAACGCGAUAAAAGAAGGUAAAAAAUAAGGAGAGGUUCACACGAUCGAAUCACGAAGCGGUAUGUCCAUGUUUGGAUACGUCUACUGCAUUUUAUAUGUCACGUUUUCUAUCCAUUUCCUUUCGUUGUUUGUAAUUGAUUGAACUUACGUAAUAUAAUUUUUUAAUAUAAUUUUGUACGUCUGAAAAAAAAAAAAUAGAAAUUUAUUAAAAAUAUAUUGGUGUUUAUCUAUUUGAUAAUCAAAACUCUUUUUAAAAAUUGUUCAUUUAAUCAUAGAUUAAGUUUAACUUGCAUAUUAUACAAUUUUAAUUAGUUAAAAUUAAUGGUAAAAAUCUGUAGAGAUCAGAGUAGAAGUAUUCCAUGAAUAUUUGUACGAGUAUUCUCGACAAGCACAAUAAGUGGCACAAGACCACUUUCUAUCUGCAUCCAGAUAAUGUCUCGAUGUGAAUCUUAAAGAUUCAUUUGAUUCAAAGUUUUUUAUUUUUAUUUACUGUUGUUAUUGAAACAUAUUUUUUGUUAUUGAAGCAGAAAAUAAAAUCUGAAGAAAAAUAAAAUCUUAAAUAAAAUAAUAUAUAAAAUUAUAUAUAAUAUAUAAUAAUAUAAUAUAAUUCUACUAGUAAAGGAUAAAGCAUGUCUCAUUGGUAAAUUCCUGGCAAAUGGUUCUUUGGGGCGUAGCCGAGACCAGGAACACGAUCGAUUUUCGUCCAAAGCGCAUUGCAGGUAUUUCGGAUGGGCGGUUCUUGACGUUCGUAGUGAAUUGUAUUAAUGUGUAUUUUAAUCGUCUAGAUGCUUUUUAGAAUGCGAAUUUUAUUUUUCUCCUCAUAUUAAUUAUAUUGUGAUUCUUACUUCGUUUAAUAAUUCAAUCGUUAGUUACAAUAUAAUAUAUAUAUUAAAAAUUACGAAUUCGAAAGAUUGAUUUUCAAUUCAAAAGACGGAAACGUUAUUUGGAAGCGUCUUUUGCCGAAAGAGGUAAGCUUAUGGAAAACCUUCAUCGCCCACGUGAUUUUAUAGUUCCUUUCUCUGACUUGAUUUCUGUGCCGGUUAUCCCACGUGUGUCCUCUAUGCUGUGUCAGCAUAGUGUAAGAUAAAUGGUGUUCAAAGAUUUAAAAAAAAAAAAGUUUUUUCUAAUGUCUAUGAAUGUCUAUGAUUAUAAGGAUAAAUAUUAAAAAAAAAAUACUUCUUAAAAAUUCUUCUACUAUUAUUUCUAAAAGUUUAUCACAAUAU